rnacentral:rRNA from 1 species
ACUCCUGCGGGAGGCAGCAGUGGGGAAUUUUGGACAAUGGGCGAAAGCCUGAUCCAGCAAUGCCGCGUGAGUGAAGAAGGCCUUCGGGUUGUAAAGCUCUUUUGUCAGGGAAGAAACGGUGAAAGCUAAUAUCUUUUGCUAAUGACGGUACCUGAAGAAUAAGCACCGGCUAACUACGUGCCAGCAGCCGCGGUAAUACGUAGGGUGCAAGCGUUAAUCGGAAUUACUGGGCGUAAAGCGUGCGCAGGCGGUUUUGUAAGUCUGAUGUGAAAUCCCCGGGCUCAACCUGGGAAUUGCAUUGGAGACUGCAAGGCUAGAAUCUGGCAGAGGGGGGUAGAAUUCCACGUGUAGCAGUGAAAUGCGUAGAUAUGUGGAGGAACACCGAUGGCGAAGGCAGCCCCCUGGGUCAAGAUUGACGCUCAUGCACGAAAGCGUGGGGAGCAAACAGGAUUAGAUACCCCUGUAGUCCCAU